CACGUAGGGUGCGAGCGUUGUCCGGAAUUAUUGGGCGUAAAGGGCUCGUAGGCGGUUUGUCGCGUCGGGAGUGAAAACACGGGGCUUAACCCCGUGCCUGCUUCCGAUACGGGCAGACUAGAGGUAUGCAGGGGAGAACGGAAUUCCUGGUGUAGCGGUGAAAUGCGCAGAUAUCAGGAGGAACACCGGUGGCGAAGGCGGUUCUCUGGGCAUUACCUGACGCUGAGGAGCGAAAGUGUGGGGAGCGAACAGG
rnacentral:rRNA from 1 species